AGCGGUUAGAGUGGAGGGGCGGCAGGUAGCCUAGCGGUUAGAGUGGAGGGGCGGCAGGUAGCCUAGCGGUUAGAGUGGAGGGGCGGCAGGUAGCCUAGCGGUUAGAGUGGAGGGGCGGCAGGUAGCCUAGCGGUUAGAGUGGAGGGGCGGCAGGUAGCCUAGCGGUUAGAGUGGAGGGGCGGCAGGUAGCCUAGCGGUUAGAGUGGAGGGGCGGCAGGUAGACUAGCGGUUAGAGUGGAGGGGCGGCAGGUAGACUAGCGGUUAGAGUGGAGGGUCGGCAGGUAGCCUAGCGGUUAGAGUGUCGGGGCGGCAGGUAGCCUAGCGUUUAGAGUGGAGGGGCGGCAGGUAGCCUAGCGGUUAGAGUGGAGGGGCGGCAGGUAGCCUAGAGGUUAGAGUGUCGGGGCGGCAGGUAGACUAGCGGUUAGAGUGUCGGGGCGGCAGGUAGCCUAGCGGUUAGAGUGUCGGGGCGGCAGGUAGCCUAGCGGUUAGAGUGUCGGGGCGGCAGGUAGCCUAGAGGUUAGAGUGUCGGGGCGGCAGGUAGCUUAGAGGUUAGAGUGUCGGGGCGGCAGGUAGACUAGCGGUUAGAGUGUCGGGGCGGCAGGUAGCCUAGCGGUUAGAGUGGAGGGGCGGCAGGUAGCCUAGCGGUUAGAGUGGAGGGGCGGCAGGUAGCCUAGAGGUUAGAGUG